ACUCAAGUCUCUCUCCUUGCCAACCAUCAAAGUCUUCUCUGUUUCCCAAGUCCUCUGAAUUCUUUUUCUUGUUCUAAUUUUCCACUUGAGAAUAUAAAAACCAUGGGAUUCCGGUUGCCAGGAAUUGUUGACACCAAGAAGGGUCUAAACAAGGCUGCUACUUCAAAGACCUUAGACAUCCCAAAAGGCUAUUUUGCAGUGUAUGUUGGGGAGGGCCAGAAGAAGCGAUUUGUGGUUCCAAUAUCAUACUUGAAUGAGCCUUUGUUCUUGGAUUUGCUGAGUCAAGCAGAAGAAGAAUUUGGAUACGAUCAUCCAAUGGGCGGUAUCACAAUCCCCUGCAGUGAUGAAACCUUCAUUCAUCUCACUUCCAGCUUUAGUGUGUGAAUGAAGGCAAAUGAAGUGAAUUGGUUCAUAUACAAAUCAGCCUCAGUUCGAUCAGAAAAACUCGCUGUGUCCAGAUGAAGUAGAGGCUGUGAUUGAUCAUAUGCACAUUUUUCUGUUGCUUAUGAAUCUGGGAAGCCUUCUUUCAUAGUCAAACUGCUUGUGAGUUGAGCACGAAGAUACAAAAUUUGUGAAGCAGUCGAAUGACGAUAGCAUGAACUCUUGAAGACUAUUUAGCCCAAAAUCAUAACUCCAAUUUUGAACUCGAUGACAAGAAGAUUUGUCUUUUAAGCCAUGUAUAAUUCUAAAUGUUUUGUUCUCCCGGAAACAUGAGAAAAUAUAAUAUAUUUUGAUUCCUCAUACUUUGUUGUCUCAUUUUUCAGUAAGUUAUUAUGUAAUUGUAGCUUGCUCCCAAUAAUUUAUUAGAUGCAGAUACAGCAAAAUAUUCUGAAAUUGUUGUACCCAGUGGUUGGACAAUAGGG
rnacentral:lncRNA from 1 species